rnacentral:lncRNA from 1 species
AAGUGCAUAAGAUGCCAUAUUCUAGGACAAAGAAGUUGAUUCUUAAAAAUGCAGAGAACCAAAGCUUCAAAAUAGAAUGAAAAAAAUCAGUUUAUGAUGCUAACUAGCCUCUUUGAUUUUAAUAACUUUUAAUAUACUACGAAUAGAACUAUAUAUGUUUACACAUACAUAUACAGUACGGCCUUCAACCCACACUUGUCUCCGAGACUCAUACCUGACUCCACUCAAAGUGCCCUUAGCUAAAGGUUUUCUCAAAAGAUUAAUGUUUCUUCUAAAUGUGUUUCAAUUUUAGGUAGCCAUGUAAAUACUAUAUGUAUGCCUCUGUGAUUUAUGUCAAUUUCACUCUAAACAUUUUAAAGCUUGGGAUUCUCCUCAAAACACCAGAGUAUCUUAAUCUAUAACUAACAUGGUCUUAAUUGGUUGGGCAGAAAACAAUCACAAGCAUAAAAUGUAAUUAUCCUACUCAUGUUAGGGGUUAGCAUUUUUGUAUUUUC